rnacentral:rRNA from 1 species
GGUUAAGCGACUAAGCGUACACGGUGGAUGCCCUGGCAGUCAGAGGCGAUGAAGGACGUGCUAAUCUGCGAUAAGCGUCGGUGAGGUGAUAUGAACCGUUAUAACCGGCGAUUUCCGAAUGGGGAAACCCAGUGUGUUUCGACACACUAUCAUUAACUGAAUCCAUAGGUUAAUGAGGCGAACCGGGGGAACUGAAACAUCUAAGUACCCCGAGGAAAAGAAAUCAACCGAGAUUCCCCCAGUAGCGGCGAGCGAACGGGGAGGAGCCCAGAGCCUGAAUCAGUGUGUGUGUUAGUGGAAGCGUCUGGAAAGGCGCGCGAUACAGGGUGACAGCCCCGUACACAAAAAUGCACAUAUUGUGAGCUCGAUGAGUAGGGCGGGACACGUGGUAUCCUGUCUGAAUAUGGGGGGACCAUCCUCCAAGGCUAAAUACUCCUGACUGACCG